UACGUAGGGUGCGAGCGUUAAUCGGAAUUACUGGGCGUAAAGCGUGCGCAGGCGGUUCGUGAUGUCUGAUGUGAAAGCCCCGGGCUCAACCUGGGAAUUGCAUUGGAAACUAGCGGGCUGGAGUGUGGCAGAGGGGGGUGGAAUUCCGCGUGUAGCAGUGAAAUGCGUAGAGAUGUGGAGGAACACCGAUGGCGAAGGCAGCCCCCUGGGCUAACACUGACGCUCAUGCACGAAAGCGUGGGGAGCAAACAGG
rnacentral:rRNA from 1 species